AUCCCCGUAGCUCAGCUGGAAGAGCAGCCGCCUCCUAAGCUGCCAAGCGCAGGUAAACUAGGGUCCUUUGGACCCGUUAUCCCUCCUGUAAAGUACCAGCGAGCUGGAACUUUACAGGAGCGGUCGACUCCUGCCGGGGAUGCCA
rnacentral:tRNA from 1 species